rnacentral:rRNA from 1 species
CCUACGGGAGGCUGCAGUGGGGAAUAUUGGACAAUGGGGGGAACCCUGAUCCAGCCAUGCCGCGUGUGUGAAGAAGGCCCUCGGGUUGUAAAGCACUUUCAGUGAGGAAGAACGCCUGGUGGUUAAUACCCAUCAGGAAAGACAUCACUCACAUAAGAAGCACCGGCUAACUCCGUGCCAGCAGCCGCGGUAAUACGGAGGGUGCGAGCGUUAAUCGGAAUUACUGGGCGUAAAGCGCGCGUAGGUGGCUUGAUAAGCCGGUUGUGAAAGCCCCGGGCUCAACCUGGGAACGGCAUCCGGAACUGUCAAGCUAGAGUGCAGGAGAGGAAGGUAGAAUUCCCGGUGUAGCGGUGAAAUGCGUAGAGAUCGGGAGGAAUACCAGUGGCGAAGGCGGCCUUCUGGACUGACACUGACACUGAGGUGCGAAAGCGUGGGUAGCAAACAGGAUUAGAUACCCUAGUAGUC